UCUUCACCAUCACGUUGGAUGUAUCCAGGGCUGUGGAGGGGCAGGAACACCUCAGCAGGCGCACCCCGCUGCCUCCCGCAUCAGUCUAACACACCCGUGAUCCGAAUCCAGAGCCGAAGCCCGGGAUGCCAACUCCAGACACCACUGCACUAGUCACUGCUCCCUAGAAGGUCUUGGAGCCCCAGUGGGCCCUGACUGCUUCCCUUGAGUGACACAUGGACAAUACUAGCCACCUUGGUUUUCCAGAAAGUAAAGCUGGUCUGGAGGUGAAGGGCUGCAGGUAGCACUCGGAGGCUGGUCCUGUGCCCACAUUCACACCGAUGGACCCCUGUAAGUGUUCCUGAAACCCACUGAAUGCUGGGAGGUCACACUGUUGUCAGCUCUCUCAGGGAUGGUAGACCCCAGGCUGAAGAGACCCCAGAAGACCACAACUUGAGUAGAGUGAGAGCUCAGGCAUGUUGCCAGUGUGGUUCUGGGUCCUCGGUGUCUGCUGUUCUCACCUGGGACCCUGUUGCUCUGGGUGAGUUCCCCAGAGCAUACUGCCCAGCAGCACGACAGAGCCUCUGCCCAGCUCCCCUCCUCCUUUCUCUCAGAAGCUGCCUGGAGAGUAGCAGGGAUUGGCCUGGAGACCUACUGGCAGAUUUCAGCCCACCCACUCAGUGAGUGUGAGCCUCAGUGUCCUCCUCUGUACCUCUGCCUUGGCUCCUGGGAGCACCUGAGAUUGGGCUAGGGCUGCGUCUCCUGCCUGUAGGUAAGAGGGAUGUCCAGGUAGAUCAGCCUGGUCCUGUGCUGCGCUCCACUGGCUAGGGUCCCAGCAUCCUACCCCUGAUCUCUGCUUUCACCAAAUCCUAGACCAAGCCCUUUCACAUCCAGCCAUCUACUCACCCAGAUGCGCAAGACUUUCCGGCUGUCUCUGCCCACCCAUUCAGGGCCCUGCCUCCAGCUUCUCAUUCCUGCUGCCAACCUGGACCUGGUCCCUCUUGAGCAGCGACUUCAGACAGAGCUAUGGUUGCCCCUUUACUACAGCAACUUCUGAACACAGCCUCUGCCUGCCAAGGGAGACCUGGAGAAUACCCAGGAAGAAAACCAUGAACUAAGAGCUGGAAGGCCCUGCAGCUAGCUACUGGCCUUGGGCUCUUAGGCAAUCGGAGAGUUCGGGUAUCCCUCCACGAGCAGCAGGCCAGGCCUUGCACCUAAGCCCCGGGGAGGCUGCUGCCUGCACCUAUCCCCUUCAGGGACUGCCAGCACAAGGGAGCUGAUGAGCCGAUGCUGAGUCUCGGCUCCCAGCAGGUGGGUCAUCUCAGCUGACUGAACUCAGGUGAGACAGCCUAUGUGCACAGCACGCCUCAAGGAAGCCGGAGAAGGAAGCCGUCCACCGUCCCCAUAGCCACAGACACGGAAUGGAUAAGGCCAGGUGAAGCAGAUGUCCAAGCAGCACUCCAGCUCACUUCCACUUGUCAGUCACCAUGGCUCAGAAUGGGUGUGCAGAGCCCUGGACUUCCAAGGCCCACACGGGGCAGAGUGUGCAUGAAGGGACCCCUGCACUGUCGGAAAGAACAGACAGGGCCGUGGAACUUCAAGUACAGCCGACACCUGGACUGUCACCCAGACACCUGCCUGUUGCCUGAAGGCAACAGAAAUAGUCAACAGAAAAUGCCUGCCAGGACUAGGGGAUACCCCUCUGCCCCCGCUCCCUAUGAGGAAGCUGGUGCUGGGCACUAGUGUGUCUGAGAUUCUGUUGGCAGGCUGGGGAAGGGAUCUCAAAAUGCCUUCCCCUCCCCUACAGGACGUUCACCCAGGCAAGGUGGAAACAGGAAGGGUGGAGGCACCCAAGCCAGGAAGCUGCUUUCACUUCCAUCCAUUCUGGGAUGAUGUGGGGACCCAAGCUGUCCCAGACUUGCAAUGUCACUACAGGGGCCCCUUUCUUAGCCUGACACCCCAGCUGCAUAAAGUAUAAGGGCAAAGGGUAUACUGACGACCUGCCCCUCUGACGUCCUUAAAGUUCCGAGAGCUGCAGGGAGGCGUAGGGGAAUGACCAUGGUGGCCAUCUGUGCAUGUGGGCGCUUUCUGAGCUCUGCCUGUGGCUGGCUGAGCCCCUUUAGUGGAAGGGAGAGGUACAAGGGAAUCAGCUCUGGGGUUCUGGUUUGCCAGGCUCCACAGUCUGGAAGACAGGGUUACGAUUUCAGCUAGUAUGCUGCAGACCCAGCGCCUAACCUUAACUUCCUUCCAUCAGGGCUUUGUGGCCAUGGGGACCUCAGGCUCCCCCUAGACUUCAUCUGCUUGGGUUCUCUCUCUCCAAAAUCAGACAUACUUGGAAAUUCCUCCAGCAACAGGCCCCAUGUACCCUCUGGUCCCCCAGAUGUUUUCGGCAAGGCCUCUUUCAACCUGGGAAGGACAGACAUUCCUCAGGAUUCAGGGGGCAAGCAUGGCAUGCCAGUUUGCCCUCCAAGUCCAGCCUCAGCCCUGUCCAUGCCCAGGAUGGGAAAGCUGUCCUGUCCACCCAUUUGCCAGAUCACAGUCCCCACCCUCUGCCAGUGUCCAGCUCCAAGCUCCCCUUCCAGGGCCAAAGAGAACAAAGACACAUUGAAAGUGGGGGAAGGGCAGCGCUUGUGUCCUCUAGCACAGCCAGGGGCAGCAGCUGGGGCUCUUAGGGAAGACAAGGCUGCUUCACCUCUGACACGCUGGAUCCUUAGACAACCCAUGGACUUCCUGCUUCUGUCUUCCACGACGACGACCAGCGUGUUACUGCCAGCACCAUGGUUGGUUAUCAGAAAAGAAUGCCACUCUCACUGUGACCACUGCACAGGGUCAGCUGGGCCCUGAGAAUCUAGCUUCUUAGCUUAGUGCUCAAGCCUCCCUGGCCCCGCUCGGCAUUCCCCAGCCAGCUGGCCCCAGGGAGCCUGUCAGGCCCGACCGGGAGAGCAAGAUCCUCAGCCUGGUCUUUGCUCUUGUUUUUGCUGCUCACAGUCCCGGCUGGGAAAUGAGGACACCAGGGCAAGAUCCAGCUCACUCCGGACUUCGGUUUUCUUGGCCAGGGUGUUCUCCACGGAGCCCUAGACACUCAGCGUAGAUUGGCUGACCCAGCACUGUCCACAUGACAACCAUCAGGCCUGUCAGCACCACAAAGCUACUGCUUAUCCUUUCUAUCUCAGAGGUGACCUCCCAUCUCCUAUCUCUCUUCCAAGGAGAGCCCAUCUCCCUGAAAUGUGCCACACAACUCUGCAACACGCCACGGUCCAGCCCUGA